rnacentral:tRNA from 1 species
UACAAGAUGGUUGAGAUAAACAAUAAACUGUAAAUUUAUAUACGGGUAUACACCCUCUUGUGU